CUCUGACAUGUCUGUGGAUCCUGUACAGAACUAAAGUGUUAAACUGCUGCAUGCUCCUGGAUCCCUCCAGCCUCAAAAGUUCUUGCUUGCAAGAUCCCUGGCAACAUCAGGAACAGCUGAUGCAGUGUAGUAAGUGUCUGAUACUACCGUCUCUCCUAACAGGCAGAUGCCUUGCCGGGAAGGGGGUACGGAAAUACUGGAACACCAGAGGGUGUUUGUGGUAUUGUGUGCAUGUGUGCGGCGAGAGGUGUUUGUGGGGUUGUGUGUGGGAUGCAUAUUAUGUUUUGCAUGUGUGUCCUGUGUGUGGUACAUUAUGUGUCUAU